rnacentral:rRNA from 1 species
CACUGGGGACUGAGACAGGCCCAGACUCUACGGGAGCCAGCAGUGGGGAAUAUUGCACAAUGGGCGCAAGCCUGAUGCAGCCAUGCCGCGUGUGUGAAGAAGGCCUUCGGGUUGUAAAGCACUUUCAGUAAGGAGGAAAGGUUAAGUGUUAAUAGCACUUAGCUGUGACGUUACUUACAGAAGAAGCACCGGCUAACUCCGUGCCAGCAGCCGCGGUAAUACGGAGGGUGCGAGCGUUAAUCGGAAUUACUGGGCGUAAAGCGUACGCAGCGGUUUGUUAAGCGAGAUGUGAAAGCCCCGGGCUCAACCUGGGAACUGCAUUUCGAACUGGCAAACUAGAGUGUGAUAGAGGUGUAGAAUUUCA